AUUGAACACUGGCGGCAGGCCUAAAACAUGCAAGUCGAACGAGUGGCGGACUGGUUAGUAAUGUCUGGGAAACUGCCCGAUUGAGGGGGAUAACUCCUGUAAACGGUAGCUAAUACCGCAUACCAUCGGAUGUGCCCAGAUGGGAUUAGCUAGUAGGUGGGGUAACGGCUCACCUAGGCGGCGAUCCCUAGCUGGUCUGAGAGGAUGACCAGCACCACUGGAACGGAGACACGGUCCAGACUCCUACGGGAGGCAGCAGUGGGGAAUAUUGCACAAUGGGCGCAAGCCGGAUGAAGCCAUGCCGCGUGUAUGAAGAAGGCCUUCGGGUUGUAAAGUACUUUCAGCGAGGAGGCGUUACUCGCAGAAGAAGCACCGGCUAACUCCGUGCCAGCAGCCGCGGUAAUAC
rnacentral:rRNA from 1 species